GACCUCCGGUGACCUAGUGGUUAGAGCAUCCGCCUCGGAUGCGGGAGGUCGCAGGAUCAAACCCCAGCCGAGUCA